rnacentral:ncRNA from 2 species
GACAGAGGGUGCAAACGUUGUUCGGAAUUACUGGGCGUAAAGCGAGUGUAGGCGGUCUGAAAAGUCGGGUGUGAAAGCCCCGGGCUCAACCCGGGAAGUGCACUCGAAACUGCCAGGCUAGAGUAUCGGAGAGGUUGGUGGAAUUCUCGGUGUAGAGGUGAAAUUCGUAGAUAUCGAGAGGAACACCGGUGGCGAAGGCGGCCAACUGGACGAAUACUGACGCUGAGACUCGAAAGCGUGGGGAGCAAACAGG